rnacentral:lncRNA from 13 species
CUUGGGCUGGCCUGCUGGAAGAUAUGGACAUGAGGCGAGAAAGGCCCCAGCUGUUCUAACCAAGUUGUCACAACUACUCCAGCUGAGGCACCAAGCAUAUGAGUGAGACCAUUCUCCACCACCAUUGGGGCUGGAUCAGAAGACCAGCUGACCAGUCUACACAAUCAUGGAUAAUAAAGAGAUAUGAGGGAAUAAACCCAUCAGAAGCAACAUCAUUGAAUCAUGAGUAUGUUAAUGUGUGUAUAAUGGCAACGACCUUCUCCACUGAACAACGUAUGAGUAGAUCUUCGCUUAACCAAAUCUUACCACUUGUUUUAUCUGCUGCUGAGACAACCCAAUCCUGCAUGAGUUACAGCUGCCAACUUCACAAAGAAACGAUGGCCUGUUCUGGGACAGCCAGUGUUGCCUGGCCUAUUGUACCGAAGAAUAAAUGAGUAAGAGUCUUGAUUACCUUACAAAUAAAUCUGGUUAACAGUUAUAUUAAUUAAAAUGC